GGUAGAAUUUACGAUAAUACAUUAGAGAAGUUUACUGCACGGAAAUCAUAAUAUGCUGUCACUUUAAUAUAAUUUAUAGAUAACUGAGGAACUACGACGAUAUCCACAGUACCAGUUAUAGUAGGUAUAAAAAGGAAAAGACAAAAAGAGUAACUAUUUAGGUGCUAUUAAUGUAUUAUUAUCGACGUUUUUAUAAUGUUUUUGUUUUUUCCUAUAUAAAAGCCCAAAAGCUGUCUCGAGAAUAAAUCGAUUUUACAUCGGAUCAUAUAAAAUGGAUUUUGUCCCAUACUUGCUGAUCGUGUAACCAAAAAAAAAAA